rnacentral:rRNA from 1 species
GACGAACGCUGGCGGCGUGCUUAACACAUGCAAGUCGAACGGAAAGGCCCUGCUUUUGUGGGGUGCUCGAGUGGCGAACGGGUGAGUAACACGUGAGUAACCUGCCCUUGACUUUGGGAUAACUUCAGGAAACUGGGGCUAAUACCGGAUAGGAGCUCCUGCUGCAUGGUGGGGGUUGGAAAGUUUCGGCGGUUGGGGAUGGACUCGCGGCUUAUCAGCUUGUUGGUGGGGUAGUGGCUUACCAAGGCUUUGACGGGUAGCCGGCCUGAGAGGGUGACCGGCGACAAUGGGACUGAGGUACGGCCCAGACUCCUACGGGAGGCAGCAGUGGGGAGUAUUGCACAAUGGGAGGGAGCCUGAUGCAGCAACGCCGCGUGCGGGAUGACGGCCUUCGGGUUGUGAACCGCUUUCGCCUGUGACGAAGCGUGAGUGACGGUAAUGGGUAAAGAAGCACCGGCUAACUACGUG